UACGUAGGGGGCAAGCGUUGUCCGGAAUCAUUGGGCGUAAAGCGCGUGUAGGCGGCCCGAUAAGUCCGCUGUGAAAGUCCAGGGCUCAACCCUGGGAUGCCGGUGGAUACUGUCGGGCUCGAGUCCGGAAGAGGAGUGUGGAAUUCCUGGUGUAGCGGUGAAAUGCGCAGAUAUCUGGAGGAACACCGGUGGCGAAGGCGGCAUCCUGGACCAACACUGACACUGAUGAGCGAAAGCCAGGGGAGCAAACGGG
rnacentral:rRNA from 1 species